AACGAACGCUGGCGGCAGGCUUAACACAUGCAAGUCGAACGCACCGCAAGGUGAGUGGCAGACGGGUGAGUAACACGUGGGGAUCUGCCCAAUGGUACGGAAUAGCUCCGGGAAACUGGAAUUAAUACCGUAUGUGCCCUUCGGGGGAAAGAUUUAUCGCCAUUGGAUGAACCCGCGUCGGAUUAGCUAGUUGGUGAGGUAAAGGCUCACCAAGGCGACGAUCCGUAGCUGGUCUGAGAGGAUGAUCAGCCACACUGGGACUGAGACACGGCCCAGACUCCUACGGGAGGCAGCAGUGGGGAAUAUUGGACAAUGGGCGCAAGCCUGAUCCAGCCAUGCCGCGUGAGUGAUGAAGGCCUUAGGGUUGUAAAGCUCUUUCGCCGACGAAGAUAAUGACGGUAGUCGGAGAAGAAGCCCCGGCUAACUUCGUGCCAGCCGCCGCCGUAA
rnacentral:rRNA from 1 species